rfam:Culex pipiens quinquefasciatus supercont3.776 genomic scaffold, whole genome shotgun sequence.
AUUCUGGUUGAUCCUACCAGUAGUAUACGCUUGUCUCAAAGGUUAAGCCAUGCAUGUCUAAGUACAAACAGUUUUAAUGUGAAACCGCAUAAGGCUCAGUAUAACAGCUAUAAUUUACAAGAUACUUGGAUAACUGUGGAAAAUCUAGAGCUAAUACAUGCAAUAUACAGGGACCUCGCGGAACCUGUGCAAUUAUUAGUCAAACCGAUCGUCCUCCGUGACGCUUGAGUUGAAAUCUGGAUAAUUUUGUUGAUCGAGACCAUGCGCACCGGCGACAGAUUUUUCAAAUAUCUGCCCUAUCAACUAUUGAUGGUAGUAUAGAGGACUACCAUGGUUGCAACGGGUAACGGGGAAUCAGGGUUCGAUUCCGGAGAGGGAGCCUGAGAAAUGGCUACCACAUCCAAGGAAGGCAGCAGGCGCGUAAAUUACCCAAUCCCGGCACGGGGAGGUAGUGACGAGAAAUAACAAUGUAAGACUCUUUUAAGAUGUUUUAUAAUUGGAAUGAACCGAGCAUACAUCCUUCGGUAAGGAUCAAGUGGAGGGCAAGUCUGGUGCCAGCAGCCGCGGUAAUUCCAGCUCCACUAGCGUAUAUUAUAAUUGUUGCGGUUUAAACGUUCGAAGUUUAUUAUUGUCCAACACGGGUGCUACGACUAAUGAUGGUAGUAGGUCACUGGAUUCUUGCGACUCUAAGACUGGGUGCCUAUAUGGUGGCGCUUGCCUAUCAGGUACAGUGUUUUCACCAACCCAGCUGAGAUUAUUGUCCGUUUCUUUCAAAGGUACACGCCGCGCGGCAUUUCAGAAUAUGCCAUAGACAUUGUUGCCAGCGAUUUUCUGCACUUUUGGUGCAAUAUAAAAUAUACCUGUCAACAAUGCCAGGCGAUUCGAAGAAGAAUAUCAACAAAAACAAAACGCGCAGUAUGGGAUUUGACAGCACGCAUUUGCCGAAAGUGCGGCGCGUCGUUUCGAGGCUGGUUUGCCGCGUGUCUUUCUCGGGAAAACGCGCAAUACCUUGAACAAAUUAGAGUGCUUCAAGCAGGCCAAUCAAUGGCCGCGAAUAUUUUUGCAUGGAAUAAUGGAAUAUGACCUCGGUCUUACGUUUCGUUGGUUUGUAAUCAGAUCAAGAGGUAAUGAUUAACAGAAGUAGUUGGGGGCAUUAGUAUUACGGCGCGAGAGGUGAAAUUCGUAGACCGUCGUAAGACUGACUAAAGCGAAAGCAUUUGCCAUGAAUGCUUUCAUUAAUCAAGAACGAAAGUUAGAGGAUCGAAGGCGAUAAGAUACCGCCCUAGUUCUAACCGUAAACUAUGCCAAUUAGCAAUUGGGAGACGCUACAUCAUGGUGCUUUCAGUAGCUUCCGGGAAACCAAAAUUAGGUUCCAGGGGAAGUAUGGUUGCAAAGUUGAAACUUGAAGAAAUUGACGGAAGGGCACCACCAGGAGUGGAGCCUGCGGCUUAAUUUGACUCAACACGGGAAAACUUACCAGGUCCGAACUUAUUGAGGUAAGACAGAUUAAUAGCUCUUUCUCCAAAUUAAGGGUAGUGGUGCAUGGUGACUCAAUCAAAUUAAAUAGAACGCUAUCAGCAGUCAGAUGUUGAUCCCGUCGGCCGGAUGGACACGUCGGCCGUUCGCACGGUCGUGCGCGAUCCAUCCACCGGCGGUGUAGUGUGACCUGAUAAUACGUCAACUCAUCGAGGUUAAUAAUCUGCUUGUGAUGAGCAAAAUGAGAUUGAGCGAUCCGUGAUGCCCUUAGAUGUCCUGGGCUGCACGCGCGCUACAAUGUGAGCAGCAGCGUGUACCCUACGCCGAAAGGCGCGGGAAAUCAUUGAAAUGCUCAUUUAGUCGGGAUUAUGGACUGAAAUGGUCCAUAUGAACCUGGAUUUCCCAGUAAGUGCUGGUCAAUAGCUAGCGUUGAUGACGUCCCUGCCCUUUGUACACACCGCCCGUCGCUACUACCGAUGGAUUAUUUAGUGAGGUCUUUGAAGGUGAACAUUUGCUAGUCCUUCCCGGAUUACAUUUGAAUCGCUGAAGUUGACCGAACAAGAUGAUUUAGAGGAAGUAAAAGCCGUAACAAGGUUUCUGUAGGUGAACCUGCGGAAGGAUCAUUA